ACAAGAAUUUUGUCCUCAGUUUUGUGAAAUCGAAUCAAACGGAUAAGACCUUGAUAAGCAACGGAUUGGUUAGAACUGGGACAGAACCUCGGAUAGUCUACUCGACGGAUUCAAGCCACCUCACACAAAGCCUCGAUCGUACUUUAACAAGGAACCAACAGAAACAAUCAUUAAAACUCAGUCGGAAAAGUCGAAACUUGCCGGAAAAGGAUUCUUUACUGUUUUCAACCCCUUUUUUUGUUCACUGCCGCCUAUCUGCUGCUUCAGCAUGUGUGUGUGUGUGUCUUUGAGUUGGAGAGGAACAUGGUAUUUUGUAAGUUCCGGUGAAGAUGAAGAAGGGGUUGAAGAGGAUGCUUAGUCACUGCUAUUCGACGGCGUGGAGUCGGUCAGAUGAAAAAGAAGGUCCUUGGUUUUCUUUGUUUUUUCCAGAUCGGACUGCUAUUGCCUCUUCUUUCUUUUGGUUGAAGAUGGAGACGGCUAGGUUGAGGAAUUCCAGCGGGUUAGAGGAGGCUGGCAAGGAGCUGGUGGAACUGGUCAUUUGGUGUUUCAGAGAUGACGGGGCUGCG
rnacentral:lncRNA from 1 species